CUCCGCUCCCAAUACUCGUCGCAAGCCAGAGUCCACACCCGCACCAACCCUAGCCUCCACACCUCACCUUCCUCCCUCGCUCCGCCCCAACCCUAGCCGCCACACCUCUGCUUCCUCCCUUGCUCGACGCCAUAGGCACCGUAGCCCCUGCCUCUCUUCCUGCUCGUCCGGAUAGCCGCCAUCCGCCGCAUCCUUUCUCCUCCUUCCUCCUCCCUGGUCCCCGCUGGUGCCCCUCGCCCUCGUCCUCGGACAGGGUGCCUCCCGCAUGGACGGUCGGGUCUUCAAACCGGGGGUAGAGGAGCAGGGGAGGGCCAAGAGGCCGUCGGUGGGGGUGGAUCAACUAGGCCGGAGACCUCUGAUUGCUUAGGCCCCAUGGCAGCAGCCGGAUCAGGGCAGCGACGGAAGGCCAUGGAGGGUGUGGCGCAUGCGGGCGGAACCAACAUGGGUUGGUGGAGCGACGGAUGCGGGUAGGGUCAGCGGUUAGGGGCACUGCGAGGAGUGGAAGGCAGAGGGUAGGGGCAGAAAGCCGUGGCGAGUCCUCGGAGAGGAGAGGAAGGCGACGGUUCAGCCCGCGGUGUCGGGCAGAGAGAGAGAUGUGGAUGGUGGCGCUAUGCAAAGAGAGAUGGCGGCGAAGGCAGGCGGUGGCGCUGAGUAGAGAGAGAUGACGUCGGCGGCGGUGGCGCUGAGUAGAGAGAGAUGACGUCCAUAAUCUUGCGGAGGUGUUCCUCAACCUACAUGAGGCACCCCAAGUGUGGGAAGAAUAAAAUGUAAUUCAAUCGUUGGGUGUAUUGUUCAGAUGAGUUCGUCCUGUGCUAGAAGAAAUGCACACCUACUUCCAAGCUCUGUACUGGUCUCCUUGCAGUUACAACCCCAAGCAAAUCGCCAUGCCCAGACGGCAGUGCCAGGUGUGCCUUAUUUCAAGCUGCUAAGAAGAAAACCGCUGCACUAGAAGAACCUAUGCAGAAGCUUGAUGCAGAAGCCGAGGUGAGCUCUGGUGGUAAAGCUGAAGCUUCUUCACCUCCUGUUGAAGAGAAGGAUGGUAAAGAUGGCCAGGCUCAAGUGACCAGGAACAAAUGGUGCUGCUUUUUAUGUUGUCCAUCUAUCUAUGCAUCCUUCAGUUUGUACCGGCAUAACAAAUAUUCAUUUCUAACUAUAAAACUUUCAGUUAAGAAACUUCACUGCUGGAAAGGGAGCUGGGGCACUAAAGAAACCGGGAUAAUCUAUCUAUAGAUACAAUAGCAAAUUGCUCUAAAUUCAUUUCCAGUUAUCAUCUCUGGCCUUUCUAUUUCUAAGACCAUCCUUCUCGCUGUAGUCUAUUAUAUAAUCUUAGUUUCUCCUUGAUGACAUCGCAAGAAAAGAAUGGUGGUCUUAUGCGAGUCGCUUCGCCAUCCAACAACACUCCAUUGCAUUACUUUUUGUCCAGCUUCAAGCCGAGCCAGUGAAUGUGUGUUCCUUGCAUGACGUUUAGUAUAACCAAAUGCUUCUUAUUAAGUAUGCUUUCGAAACUAGAGUCUUUGGCUGCUCAUGUAGCUCUGCCAAAGCAAUGCAAAAAACUACAUUUUAUGCUUUCAGUUAGGGUGGAUUUGUGUCUUUAGAGAUGAGGCAACCUUACGUGUACAUAUUCAUAGAUACGUCCUCCGUUCCUAAAUAGAAGUCUUUAGAGAUUUAAAUACGGACUACAUACAAAGCAAAAUGAGUGAAUCUACACUCUAAACUAUGUCCCUUUAUCACACUUCCAGCAGACAUGAGUUCUCGUGUUUUUACAGCUUUGUGGAAACAUGAUUCGAUGCAGAAGAUUCAACUAUGUAAAUUGGAAUAAAGAAAAUUAAACACUCAGGUCAAUGGACUGUUCUUUUAUUUGUCUAUGGAACAACUCUUCUUGUACCUGUUUGUGCUCUGUUCCAUAGCAUGAUGGUGCUCUGACCACUUCAUAUCCAUGUAUUUAGCAGGUUCUACGAUCUCUUGUGUUGCACUAUUGCUGCAUCUCGAACUCCUGCUUUGUUGCAUCUUUGUUCUGCUCCUCGAUGUUUGCUUACUUUCUGUCUAGCUAAAAUGCUUUUCUGGAUCUGGCAAGGCGUCGUGUAUUGUUCGUCCUCAUGCUGCUUAUAUUUCAUGCUUGCAUGUAAGCAGGAUGCGUCUGCUUAUUUGAGUACGUACAGACAUGCUUCUUUAGUGUGCCCUUCUAUCAUCUCAUAGUUAUCUUAUUUGUUGUUCUAAAUAAUUAUUGUAUGAGGGAGCAGCAGGCAGAAGAAAUCCAAAGCAAAUUUUGCUCAGCUGUAGCGUCUUCCACUAACAAUAAGUCUGCACAGCAGCCUGAUAGAUGCUAAUUUACCGUUCUUGAUUUUGGCGGGGAUAUUCCUUCAUUACUUGCGAUAUGAGGAGACAGCUCUAUUGUUGGCAGUGACUGCAAACAUGGACUCCUCUUCGCUGGACGAGGAAAACAAAAAUAAUAAUCUAGCAGGCAGUAAAAUUACAUGGCUGAUCUCGGUUUUGUACAUGUUAGUUGCAACUCCAGCAACCAUCGUGACAGUUCACAGUUCCUUCCAUCCCUAUGCAUCUCAGGAGGCGCCUCUUCAACCUUGUAUAUAAUCUGUGAAAGAUGAUCAAUAAAGUCUACACAUGUUCAUUCUAUUUGUUUCUCUCUCGCUUGUGUAUUGAUUACAUUUAAUAGAAAUAACUCUUGGUUUGAAAUGAGACCCUAGGGGUAAAGUCAGUAUACAUGUUAUUUAGACAGCAAGCCUCCAUUUUUAUUGUAGACAGAAGGCCCCUAUUCUUUUUUAUUAACGGGGUUUAAAUUUGUUACCAUAUGUGUUUGCUCACAACUAAACCAUGGAUUUUUUUUUCAUUUUUUUUCCAAACUUAGAUUUCUCAUCAUGAUAACCAUAUUUUCAACUAAUACAAUGCUUCUUUAGCUGGUUUGUACAUCAGUACAUGUUAUUCAAUUUUUUUCAAAUUCAGAUUUGCAGCGCGAUAAUCAUAUUUUCAAUAUAGCAUGGUUUAACACAUGAGCUUUCUACUACCAAUAUCCAAUAUGUUUCUGCAAAAUAAAACUAUUUUCAUCGACAACAUGGUUUUAGUGGGUCUCUGCGCCAUUUGGCGCAACGGGUCAACUAGUUUAAUUAAUACGUUGAAGCGUACUAAUACAAGUAGUGCAAUAAGCAGAAAAUAGGACUUUUUACAUGUCCUAUCCAAG